rnacentral:rRNA from 1 species
ACGAACGCUGGCGGCGUGCCUAAUACAUGCAAGUCGAACGAGCUCUCCUAAAUUGAUUUUAUGCUUGCAUAAAUGAUUUUUAGAUUCGGAGCGAGUGGCGAACUGGUGAGUAACACGUGGGUAACCUGCCCCGAAGCGGGGGAUAACAUUUGGAAACAAAUGCUAAUACCGCAUAAUUAGUUGGAACCGCAUGGUUCCAACUUGAAAGAUGGCUCUGCUAUCACUUUGGGAUGGACCCGCGCCGUAUUAGUUAGUUGGUGAGAUAAAAGCCCACCAAGACGAUGAUACGUAGCCGACCUGAGAGGGUAAUCGGCCACAUUGGGACUGAGACACGGCCCAGACUCCUACGGGAGGCAGCAGUAGGGAAUCUUCCACAAUGGACGAAAGUCUGAUGGAGCAACGCCGCGUGAGUGAUGAAGGUUUUCGGAUCGUAAAACUCUGUUGUUAAAGAAGAACAAGUGUUAGAGUAACUGUUAACACUUUGACGGUAUUUAACCAGAAAGCCACGGCUAACUACGUGCCAGCAGCCGCGGUAAUACGUAGGUGGCAAGCGUUGUCCGGAUUUAUUGGGCGUAAAGCGAGCGCAGGCGGUUUUGUAAGUCUGCUGUGAAAGCCCUCAGCUCAACUGAGGAAGUGCAGUGGAAACUACAAAACUUGAGUACAGAAGAGGAAAGUGGAACUCCAUGUGUAGCGGUGAAAUGCGUAGAUAUAUGGAAGAACACCAGUGGCGAAAGGCGGCUUUCUGGUCUGUUACUGACGCUGAGGCUCGAAAGCAUGGGUAGCGAACAGGAUUAGAUACCCUGGUAGUCCAUGCCGUAAACGAUGAAUACUAGGUGUUGGAGGGUUUCCGCCCUUCAGUGCCGCAGCUAACGCAUUAAGUAUUCCGCCUGGGGAGUACGACCGCAAGGUUGAAACUCAAAGGAAUUGACGGGGGCCCGCACAAGUGGUGGAGCAUGUGGUUUAAUUCGAUGCUACGCGAAGAACCUUACCAGCUCUUGACAUCUUCUGCCAACCCAAGAGAUUGGGCGUUCCCUUCGGGGACAGAAUGACAGGUGGUGCAUGGUUGUCGUCAGCUCGUGUCGUGAGAUGUUGGGUUAAGUCCCGCAACGAGCGCAACCCUUAUUAUUAGUUGCCAGCAUUUAGUUGGGCACUCUAGUGAGACUGCCGGUGAUAAACCGGAGGAAGGUGGGGACGACGUCAAAUCAUCAUGCCCCUUAUGAGCUGGGCUACACACGUGCUACAAUGGAUGGUACAACGAGUCGCGAAACCGCGAGGUCAAGCUAAUCUCUUAAAGCCAUUCUCAGUUCGGAUUGCAGGCUGCAACUCGCCUGCAUGAAGUUGGAAUCACUAGUAAUCGUGGAUCAGCAUGCCACGGUGAAUACGUUCCCGGGCCUUGUACUCACC